ensembl:rRNA 5S_rRNA 5S ribosomal RNA
GCUUAGGGCCAUACCACCCUGAGCACGCCCGAUCUCGUCUGAUCUCGGAAGCUAAUCAGGGUCGGGCCUGGUUAGUAGUUGGAUGGGAGCCCGCCUGGGAAUACCAGGUGCUGUAAGCA